AUUGAACGCUGGCGGCAGGCCUAAUACAUGCAAGUCGAGCGGAGCGGCGGACGGGUGAGUAAUGCCUGGGAAUCUGCCCGGGAGUAGCGGAUAAAGUCGAGAAGGGUGCGCCAAACUCACAGAAUAUAAGAGGACCCUCGGUGGGCUUAGCUAGUUGGUGAGGUAAAGGCAUACCAAGGCGGCGAUCCCUAGCUGGCCUGAGAGGAGGAUCAGUCACACUGGAACUGAGACACGGUCCAGACUCCUACGGGAGGCAGCAGUGGGGAAUAUUGGACAAUGGACGAAAGCCUGAUCGAGCCAUGCCGCGUGUGUGAAGAAGGUCUUCGGAUUGUAAAGCACUUUAAGUUGGGAGGCGUUACCUACAGAAUAAGCACCGGCGAACUUCGUGCCAGCAGCCGCGGUAAUUC
rnacentral:rRNA from 1 species